rnacentral:rRNA from 1 species
UACAGAGGCCUCAAGCGUUGUUCGGAAUUACUGGGCGUAAAGGGAAUGUAGGUGGUUAGGUAAGUUAGAUGUGAAAGCCCUGGGCUUAACCCGGGAAGUGCAUUUAAUACUGCUUAGCUGGAGUGCGGAAGAGGAAAGCGGAAUUCCAGGUGUAGGGGUGAAAUCCGUAGAUAUCUGGAGGAAUACCGAUGGCGAAGGCAGCUUUCUGGUCCGUAACUGACACUGAGAUUCGAAAGCGUGGGUAGCAAACAGG